UACGUAGGGGGCAAGCGUUGUCCGGAUUUAUUGGGCGUAAAGAGCGUGUAGGCGGCCAGGUAGGUCGGUUGUGAAAACUGGAGGCUUAACCUUCAGACGUCGACCGAAACCAUCUGGCUAGAGUCCGGAAGAGGAGAGUGGAAUUCCUGGUGUAGCGGUGAAAUGCGCAGAUAUCAGGAAGAACACCAAUGGCGAAAGCAGCUCUCUGGGACGGUACUGACGCUGAGACGCGAAAGCGUGGGGAGCGAACAGG
rnacentral:rRNA from 1 species